rnacentral:rRNA from 1 species
GACGAACGCUGGCGGCGUGCUUAACACAUGCAAGUCGAACGGAAAGGCCCUGCUUGCAGGGUGCUCGAGUGGCGAACGGGUGAGUAACACGUGGGUGAUCUGCCCCUUACUUUGGGAUAAGCCUGGGAAACUGGGUCUAAUACUGGAUAGGACCAUGCUGUAGGUGGUGUGGUGGAAAGAUUAGUUUCGGUAAGGGAUGAGCUCGCGGCCUAUCAGCUUGUUGGUGGGGUAAUGGCCUACCAAGGCGUCGACGGGUAGCCGGCCGGAGAGGGUGGACGGCCACAUUGGGACUGAGAUACGGCCCAGACUCCUACGGGAGGCAGCAGUGGGGAAUAUUGCACAAUGGGCGCAAGCCUGAUGCAGCGACGCCGCGUGGGGGAUGACGGCCUUCGGGUUGUAAACUCCUUUCAGCCAUGACGAAGCCCUUGUGGUGACGGUAGUGGGAGAAGAAGCACCGGCUAACUACGUG